AUUGGUGAGAACAUGAAUCCAGA
rnacentral:piRNA from 1 species